UGACGAGUUUGAUCCUGGCUCAGGAUGAACGCUAGCGGCAGGCUUAACACAUGCAAGUCGAGGGGUAGGAGCAGCUUGCUGCUUUGAGACCGGCGCACGGGUGCGUAACGCGUAUACAAUCUACCUUUUACAGAGGGAUAGCCCAGAGAAAUUUGGAUUAAUACCUCAUAGUAUAGUACGGCCGCAUGGUUGAGCUAUUAAAGUCACAACGGUGAAAGAUGAGCAUGCGUCCCAUUAGCUAGUUGGUAAGGUAACGGCUUACCAAGGCAACGAUGGGUAGGGGUCCUGAGAGGG
rnacentral:rRNA from 1 species